UGGGGAAUAUUGGACAAUGGACCAAAAGUCUGAUCCAGCAAUUCUGUGUGCUUGAUGAAGGCCUUCGGGUUGUAAAGAGCUUUAAGUAGGGAAGAAGAAAGUGACGGUACCUACAGAAUAAGCGACGGCUAAAUACGUGCCAGCAGCCGCGGUAAUACGUAUGUCGCAAGCGUUAUCCGGAAUUAUUGGGCAUAAAGGGCGUCUAGGCGGUUUAGAAAGUCUGAUGUGAAAAUGCGGGGCUCAACCCCGU
rnacentral:rRNA from 1 species